rnacentral:tRNA from 1 species
GGGUGGUAGCUCAGCUGGUUAGAGCGCCUGCCUGUCACGCAGGAGGUCGCGGGUUCGAGUCCCGUCCAUC